GAUGAACGCUGGCGGCGUGCCUAAUACAUGCAAGUCGAGCGGAAAGGCCUCUUCGGAGGUACUCGAGCGGCGGACGGCAGAGUAACGCGUAGGGAACAUACCCCAAACUGAGGGAUAACUGCCCGAAAGGGUGGCUAAUACCGCAUGUGAUCUUCGGAUUAAAGCUUCGGCGGUUUGGGAAUGGCCUGCGUUCGAUUAGCUAGUUGGUGAGGUAAAGGCUCACCAAGGCGACGAUCGAUAACUGGUCUGAGAGGAUGAUCAGUCUGACUGGAACUGAGAUACGGUCCAGACUCCUACGGGAGGCAGCAGUAGGGAAUUUUCCACAAUGGGCGAAAGCCUGAUGGAGCAACGCCGCGUGCAGGAUGAAGGCCCUUGGGUCGUAAACUGCUUUUAUGUGAGAAGAAUAUGACGGUAACACAUGAAUAAGGGUCGGCUAACUACGUGCCAGCAGCCGCGGUAAU
rnacentral:rRNA from 1 species